rnacentral:rRNA from 1 species
AGCGAACGCUGGCGGCAGGCUUAACACAUGCAAGUCGAGCGGACCUUUCGGGGUCAGCGGCGGACGGGUGAGUAACGCGUGGGAACGUGCCUUCCGGUUCGGAAUAACCCUGGGAAACUAGGGCUAAUACCGGAUACGCCCUUAUGGGGAAAGGUUUACUGCCGGAAGAUCGGCCCGCGUCUGAUUAGCUAGUUGGUGGGGUAACGGCCUACCAAGGCGACGAUCAGUAGCUGGUCUGAGAGGAUGAUCAGCCACACUGGGACUGAGACACGGCCCAGACUCCUACGGGAGGCAGCAGUGGGGAAUAUUGGACAAUGGGCGCAAGCCUGAUCCAGCCAUGCCGCGUGAGUGAUGGAGGCCUUAGGGUUGUAAAGCUCUUUUAUCCGGGACGAUAAUGACGGUACCGGAGGAAUAAGCCCCGGCUAACUUCGUG